GAAGCCGUAGCGCAGAGGUCGUCGCGCCCGCCCUCCAAUUGCGGGAGGACAUCGGUUCGAAUCCGGUCGGCUUCA
rnacentral:tRNA from 1 species